CUGAUGUGAAUUCAUGCAUCGGAUUCAUGCUGCUCCACCACAUUUUCGAACGUCAUUUGGUACAACCCUGAGGGGGAAGAACCUCAGGGUCACACUUACUGAGGGAGACCAGGUGGCGUACAGGAAAAAGCACUAAAAUGCUCAAAUUAAAUCUUCCUAGAAUAUAAGUGCUGUGUCAAUAAGAACCAGCUCUACUAUGUCCAUCCUUCGUUCGAGAGGGUUGGUGCUUGUUGCUUUACCAUUGCUGUUAGUGGAGUUGAAGAGUUGGCAAAUUAUGUCCUUCUCUAUUUCUUCAAACUUCCCCUUUAUAUGUUAUCCGAGUCUAUAAAGAACUGGUUUCAUCACCUGAGAUAUCAUCGCCUGCAAUGAGACGAAGUCAACCCCCUUUUCUAGGUCUGCCCCAAGUCCUACCCUGUUCUGACCACGAGACCGUCGUCCAGUACCCCAAGGUCCCACGUCUAAGAUCAUAGGGCUUUUUUACAGCCCUUUUUUAUUCAUAGUCCCAUCUAAGGCGCUUCCACCACUGGAGACGCCUUUGCAUCUAUAACCCAAGCUUUUCUACUCUGUUCGAAUUUUCCACCACCAGAAAUAUGUACAUUUGGGGCAUUCUUUCAAGCGCGCAAAACAGAAAAGGCAACAAAAUUGAUCGAGAAAAAUAUUAAAAAUAGAAAUGCAUCUAAUUUCCCCUACCCAGGAAUGCCAAACUCUGAAUUUCCACAGUUGAGGCCAUUGGUACGGGCCACGCAUAUAUAAAUCCCCAAGAACUCCUGGCAAGACAAUGCGAGUUCUUCUCAGCUCAAGGUAGAGAAGCUCACAUCAGAUGCCGCAAAAAGUCAAAUGAGAUGAUGGCUCUUAGAACUGUGAGUAGCCAAAAUUCAUGAAACCUAUAGGAAGUGAUUAAGUCGACUCAAUCCGUAGUAGCCGCUUGGCCCGACGGCAUGAGAAGAUGGAAAAUGUACUUCUACUUAGACAUUCAACCUUGUGUGGGAGCAUUUCGACGAUCGCAGAGUGAUGCCUUGCUAAUAUCUUUCAAACAUCUUAAUAUUUCAACGAACGAAGACGAGAAAGCCAGCAGAAUCUUUCCAGAUUCAAAAACGAACAACGGACGAAAAGGUGAACGUCAAUAAGAAGACCGACGAACCAGAGGAACUGGAAAUCAAAUGAACCGUACACAACGAACACAACUGAUUCUCCUACCAAAUUCACUCUUCUCGACUCCAUUUUUUAGCCGGCCACCAGGACUCAGAGAUCCGCCUCUCCGUCCGCGCCACGGUGCGCGCUAUCCGUACGCCCAACAACUCCAAGCAAGCCACGGCCGCCUUCCCGCGCCGGCGAAGCUGCGAUCGCAGCGACGGCAGCGUUCUCGAUCAAUGUGGCCGAUACCUGUGCGAACCCCGGCCAGCCGUCAGGAGCAGAGAUCUGGCCUCUCCUCAAAGAAGUAUCCAAGGACCAACCCCACUGUACUGAUUUUCCCGCGGCAUAUUAUCCCCCCUCUCUCUCUCUCUCUCUCUCUCUCUCUCUCUCUCUCUCUCUCUCUCU
rnacentral:lncRNA from 1 species